CCCUAGAGCAGAGCAAAGAGUGCCUAGAGGC
rnacentral:piRNA from 1 species